UACGGAGGGUGCGAGCGUUGUCCGGAAUCACUGGGCGUAAAGGGCGCGUAGGCGGUCUGCUAAGCGUGCGGUGAAAGCCUGGGGCUCAACCCCAGGUCUGCCGUGCGAACUGGUGGACUAGAGCACUGUAGAGGCAGGUGGAAUUCCGGGUGUAGUGGUGAAAUGCGUAGAGAUCCGGAGGAACCCCAGAGGCGAAGGCGGCGCCCUGGCUCGCAACUGACGCUCAGACACGACAGCAUGGGGAGCGAACGGG
rnacentral:rRNA from 1 species